GGGCCCGCACAAGCGGUGGAGUAUGUGGUUUAAUUCGAUGCAACGCGAAGAACCUUACCAGGGUUUGACAUCCUGCGAAUCUCUUGGAAACGAGAGAGUGCCUUCGGGAACGCAGUGACAGGUGGUGCAUGGCUGUCGUCAGCUCGUGUCGUGAGAUGUUGGGUUAAGUCCCGCAACGAGCGCAACCCACGUCGUUAGUUGCCAGCAUUUAGUUGGGCACUCUAGCGAGACCGCCGGUGAUAAACCGGAGGAAGGUGUGGAUGACGUCAAGUCAUCAUGCCCCUUACAUCCUGGGCUACACACGUGCUACAAUGGCCAGUACAGAGGGCUGCUAACCCGUGAGGGGGCGCUAA
rnacentral:rRNA from 1 species